rnacentral:miRNA from 1 species
CGAGGGCAUUUCAUGAUGCAGGC